CAAACACAGGACUCUUUGUGGGUCUAAAUAAAGGGCAUGUUGUCACCAAGAAGGAAUUAGCACCUCGUCCUUCCGACAGAAAAGGGGCUUAUCAAGAUAUUCUCUAGCUUUGAGAGCUGCAUAAGGCUAAUGAUUAAAAAAAGAAAAGUGAGUCAGUAAAUGGAGAUUCUAAAGAUCAUCAUCCAAAUGCACCAAAAUUUAGAGUAAGAUCGAACCACUAUUAAUGAAGGUAUUCUACUGGGCUAGGAUGCUUGUUGUUUGGAUAUGGAGCCAUGGAAGAACUUGGACCCUUCCGUGUUAACAGUGAUGGAAAAACACUCUACCCCAACCACUAUGCAUGGAACAAUGGUGCAUGCCUAACCCUAUAAAACCUUUGCUUUUGAGGUACUAACUGUUUUCUCCUGGAAUUUUUUUUGCCUGAGAUUUUUUGCUGCCAGCUAUCCCUUCGGGACCACUCUUAUGUAUUAUGUUAAAAGCACCAAUUCAGAAAUUUGCUGAUUAUCUUUUAGGUGUUGGUGUCAAGCUUGUUGGCAAUACAGUGUGGAGUACCCUCUUUCAUCAAUUCUUAAUAGUGAUGUCACGUGAGAAAUCAUUUUUCUUUUUGUUAAACAAGUCUUUAUUAUCAUGUAUUAGGUCAUACCAUGGGU